GACGAACCGUACGAACGUUACUCGGAAUCACUGGGCUUAAAGGGUGCGUAGGCCGUUCGGAAAGUCGGGUGUGAAAGCCCUCGGCUCAACCGAGGAAUUGCGCCCGAAACUGCUGAGCUUGAGGGACACAGAGGUAAGCGGAACUUAGGGUGGAGCGGUGAAAUGCGUUGAUAACCUAAGGAACACCAGGAGCGAAAGCGGCUUACUGGGUGUCUUCUGACGCUGAGGCACGAAAGCCAGGGGAGCGAAC
rnacentral:rRNA from 1 species